rnacentral:misc_RNA from 1 species
UUUCCGUAGGUGAACCUGCGGAAGGAUCAUUCAUAAUAAAGUGUUUUAUGGCACUUUUUAAAAAUCCAUAUCCACCUUGUGUGCUAUGUUAGGUCUCGUCAAUCUUGGCGAGAUUUUUAUACAUCAACUCAUUCUUUAACUAAUUUGUCUGAAAAAUAUUAUGAAUACUUAAUUCAAAAUACAACUUUCAACAACGGAUCUCUUGGCUCUC